CUUUUCCGAGGAAUCUUCAGUGAAUUUUAUAUCUUUACAGCAAGUUCAGUUGAAUUUAGGUGUCAUGUACCGGAAUGCGAUGGCCCUAAUAGUACGUCAAGAACCAUGGACGGAGUUUUCAAUACCGACAACUUCUAGCGAUAUGUUCCAUUCAAUCGAAGUGCUGCACAAGACUUCUGCUUUAGCCAGAACUUAGAUCAAAGUUUUAGAAAGAGAUGUGGAAUGGAUUUUAUAUUUCAUGACAAGGUACAAGGAAGUGACAAUAUCCAAUGAUUAGUUUGGAAUUUAUUGCUCUGAAGAACUAAAAUUGUGAAUGAUUGGAACAAUAAACAACCUUGGCAAGUUCAUUGGAAUUGCUCUGGG